UACGUAGGGUGCAAGCGUUGUCCGGAAUUAUUGGGCGUAAAGAGCUCGUAGGCGGUCUGUCGCGUCUGCUGUGAAAACUCAGGGCUUAACCCUGAGCCUGCUUCCGAUACGGGCAGACUAGAGGUACGCAGGGGAGAACGGAAUUCCUGGUGUAGCGGUGAAAUGCGCAGAUAUCAGGAGGAACGCCGGUGGCGAAGGCGGUUCUCUGGGCAUUACCUGACGCUGAGGAGCGAAAGCGUGGGGAGCGAACAGG
rnacentral:rRNA from 1 species